ACACGCAUGACACACUGCAUAUCAAUAAGCGGAGGAAAAGAAACUAACAAGGAUUCCCUUAGUAACGGCGAGUGAAGCGGGAAGAGCUCAAAUUUGAAAUCUUCAAGGUUCUACCUUGACGAAUUGUAGUUUAUAGAAGUGUUUUCUGUUAGUAGGAGUGGCAAAAGUUCUUUGGAAUAGGACAUCAUAGAGGGUGAGAAUCCCGUAUUUGGUCAUUCUUUCUAGCUUUGUGAUACGCUUUCAACGAGUCGGAUUGUUUGGGAAUGCAGUCCAAAAUGGGUGGUAAAUUUCAUCUAAAGCUAAAUAUUGGCGAGAGACCGAUAGCGAACAAGUACCGUGAGGGAAAGAUGAAAAGAACUUUGAAAAGAGAGUUAAACAGUACGUGAAAUUGUCAAAAGGGAAGCGUUUGACACCAGUGUUGUUUUUCCGAAAAUCAAUUACGAAUGUUUUAUUUUUGAGAAGUUAUGACUUCAUCGGCUUGCUUCUCUCUUUAUGAAACUUUCUUAAUGCACUUUUCGGUUAACAAGUCAACAUCAAUUUCUUUUGUUGUAAAAGGGUAUGAGGAAGGUGGCUUUCUUUUCGGAGAAAGUGUUUAUAGCCUUGUACCUCUGCAAUCGGAGAGAUUGAGGUCUGCAGCGUAGAUCCUUCGGGGUUAGAUACAUUUGUGCUAAGUUAUAGCUUUUCAUAGACAACUUGUUGACUAUGUUUAGUCUUGUAGCUUACUCGCUUAUGCUAUUUUACCUACGCUUAGGAUGUUGAUCUACAGAGCGAGAGU
rnacentral:rRNA from 1 species